rnacentral:rRNA from 1 species
GAGUUUGAUCCUGGCUCAGAACGAACGCUGGCGGCGUGCCUAAGAGCAUGCAAGUCGUGCGAGAAAGUCACCUUCGGGUGGCGAGUAAAGCGGCGCACGGGUGAGUAACGCGUGGGUAAUCUGCCUUCGGGUCCGGGACAACUCCGGGAAACUGGAGCUAAUACCGGAUAAGACCACGGCGUCUUCGGACGCUGUGGAAAAAGGUGGCCUCUUCUUGAAAGCUACCGCCCGUAGAUGAGCCCGCGUCCCAUUAGCUUGUUGGUGAGGUAACGGNUCACCAAGGCAACUAUGGGUAGCUGGUCUGAGAGGGUGAUCAGCCACACUGGGACUGAGACACGGGCCCCAGACUCCUACGGGAAGGGCCAAGCAAGUGGGGGGGAAACUAAUUGGGACAAUGGGCGCAAGCCUGAUCCAGCAAUGCCGCGUGUGUGAAGAAGGCCUUCGGGUUGUAAAGCACUUUCAAUCGGGAAGAAAAGCGCGCGGUUAACAGCGGCGCGUCUUGACGGUACCGAUACCAAGAAGCACCGGUUAACUCCGUGCCAGCAGCCGCGGGUUAAAUUACGGAGGGGUGCAAGCGUUAAUCGGAAUUACUGGGGCGUAAAAGCGCACGCAGGCGGUUGGUAAAGUCCCGAUUGUGGAAAGCCCCGGGGUCAAACCUUGGGGGAACUUGGGUUUUUGGAUACUUGGGCGACUAAGAAGUAAUGGGGCAAAAAAAAAGGGAAAAUUCCGGAAUGUACGGGGAACUGGGUAAGAUGGGGGAACCAUCAGUGGGNAAAGGGGUUCUUGGACCAAUAUGAGGUCAGGUGGCAAAGGUUGGGGAGCCAACCGGUUUAAGAUAACCUGGGGAUGC